UACCUGCAGCCCAAGUGGUAAUCGUUAUUAUUGAGCCUCAAGCGUCCGUAGCCGGUUUGGUAAACCCUCGGGUAAAUCGGGCAGCUCAACUGUCCGAAUUCCGGGGGGACUGCCAGACUUGGAACCGGGAGAGGUCAGAGGUACUUCAGGGGUAGGGGCUAAAUCCUGUAAUCCUUGAAGGACCACCAGUGGCGAAGGCGUCUGACUAGAACGGAUUCGACGGUAAGGGACGAAACCCUGGGGCGCAAACCGGAUUAGAUACCCGGGUAGUCCAGGGCGUAAACGCUGCAGGCUUGGUGUUGGGGACCCCACGAGGGUGCUCAGUGCCGGAGUGAAGAUGUUAAGCCUGCCGCUUGGGGAGUACGUCCGCAAGGAUGAAACUUAAAGGAAUUGGCGGGAGAGCACAGCAACGGGAGGAGCGUGCGGUUCAAUUGGAUUCAACGCCGGAAAACUCACCGGGAGCGACGAUUACAUGAAGGUCAGGCCGACGACUUUACCUGAUUUUUCGAGAGGUGGUGCAUGGCCGUCGUCAGUUCGUACCGUAAGGCGUUCUGUUAAGUCAGAUAACGAGCGAGACCCUCACCCUUAAUUGCCACCCCAUUCUUCGGAGUGGGCGCACAUUAAGGGGACCGCUGGCGCUAAGUCAGAGGAAGGAGAGGUCAACGGUAGGUCAGUAUGCCCCGAAUCUCCCGGGCUACACGCGCGCUACAAAGGACAGGACAAUGGGAUGCGAUACCGAAAGGUAAAGCGAACCCCGAAACCUGUUCGUAGUUCGGACUGAGGGCUGUAACUCGCCCUCACGAAGCUGGAUUCCGUAGUAAUCGCUCGUCAACAUCGAGCGGUGAAUAUGCCCCUGCUCUU
rnacentral:rRNA from 1 species